rnacentral:rRNA from 1 species
GAUGAACGCUGACAGAAUGCUUAACACAUGCAAGUCGACUUGAACUUCGGUUUGGGUGGCGGACGGGCGAGUAACGCGUAAAGAACUUGCCUCACAGAUAGGGACAACAUUUGGAAACGAAUGCUAAUACCUGAUAUUAUGAUUAUAUGGCAUCGUAUAAUUAUGAAAGCUAUAUGCGCUGUGAGAGGGCUUUGCGUCCCAUUCGCUAGUUGGAGAGGUAACGGCUAACCAAGGCGAUGAUGGGUAGCCGGCCUGAGAGGGUGAUCGGCCACAAGGGGACUGAGACACGGCCCUUACUCCUACGGGAGGCAGCGGUGGGGAAUAUUGGACAAGGGACCAAGAGUCUGAUCCAGAAAUUCUGUGUGCACGAUGAAGUUUUUCGGAAUGUAAAGUGCUUUCAGUUGGGAAGAAAAAAAUGACGGUACCAACAGAAGAAGAGACGGCUAAAUACGUG